rnacentral:rRNA from 1 species
AUUGAACGCUGGCAGCAUGCUUUACACAUGCAAGUCGAACGGUAACAGGCCGCAAGGUGCUGACGAGUGGCGAACGGGUGAGUAAUGCAUCGGAACGUGCCCAGUCGUGGGGGAUAACGCAGCGAAAGCUGUGCUAAUACCGCAUACGAUCUAUGGAUGAAAGCGGGGGACCGUAAGGCCUCGCGCGAUUGGAGCGGGCGAUGUCAGAUUAGGUAGUUGGUGGGGUAAAGGCCUACCAAGCCGACGAUCUGUAGCUGGUCUGAGAGGACGACCAGCCACACUGGGACUGAGACACGGCCCAGACUCCUACGGGAGGCAGCAGUGGGGAAUUUUGGACAAUGGGCGCAAGCCUGAUCCAGCAAUGCCGCGUGCAGGAAGAAGGCCUUCGGGUUGUAAACUGUUUUUGUACGGAACGAAACGGUCUGGGUUAAUACCCUGGGCUAAUGACGGUACCGUAAGAAUAAGCACCGGCUAACUACGUGCCAGCCGCCGCCGUAAUAC